UACGUAGGGUGCGAGCGUUAAUCGGAAUUACUGGACGUAAAGCGUGCGCAGGCGGUUCGUUGUGUCGGCGGUGAAAGCCCCGGGCUUAACCUGGGAAUGGCCGUCGAAACUGGCGAACUGGAGUGUGGCAGAGGGGGGUGGAAUUCCGCGUGUAGCAGUGAAAUGCGUAGAGAUGCGGAGGAACACCGAUGGCGAAGGCAGCCCCCUGGGCUGACACUGACGCUCAGGCACGAAAGCGUGGGGAGCAAACAGG
rnacentral:rRNA from 1 species